UACGUAGGGUGCGAGCGUUAAUCGGAAUUACUGGGCGUAAAGCGUGCGCAGGCGGUUCGUUAAGUUCGUUGUGAAAGCCCCGGGCUCAACCUGGGAACUGCAAUGGAAACUCCCGAGCUAGAGUAUGUCAGAGGGGGGUAGAAUUCCACGUGUAGCAGUGAAAUGCGUAGAGAUGUGGAGGAAUACCGAUGGCGAAGGCAGCCCCCUGGGAUAAUACUGACGCUCAGGCACGAAAGCGUGGGGAGCAAACAGG
rnacentral:rRNA from 1 species